rnacentral:rRNA from 1 species
UACGGGGGGAGCAAGCGUUGUUCGGAUUUACUGGGCGUAAAGGGCGCGUAGGCGGCCACCGCAAGUCAGUUGUGAAAUCUCUGGGCUUAACCCAGAAAGGUCAACUGAUACUGCGGGGCUAGAGUGCAGAAGGGGCAACUGGAAUUCUCGGUGUAGCGGUGAAAUGCGUAGAGAUCAGGAAGAACAUCGGUGGCGAAGGCGCUCUGCUGGACCAUAACUGACACUCAGGGACGAAAGCUAGGGGAGCGAAUGGG